rnacentral:rRNA from 1 species
AUUGAACGCUGGCGGCAGGCCUAACACAUGCAAGUCGAGCGGAUGAAGGGAGCUUGCUCCUGGAUUCAGCGGCGGACGGGUGAGUAAUGCCUAGGAAUCUGCCUGGUAGCGGGGGAUAACGUCCGGAAACGGGCGCUAAUACCGUAUACGUCCUGAGGGAGAAAGUGGGGGAUCUUCGGACCUCACGCUAUCAGAUGAGCCUAGGUCGGAUUAGCUAGUUGGUGGGGUAAAGGCCUACCAAGGCGACGAUCCGUAACUGGUCUGAGAGGAUGAUCAGUCACACUGGAACUGAGACACGGUCCAGACUCCUACGGGAGGCAGCAGUGGGGAAUAUUGGACAAUGGGCGAAAGCCUGAUCCAGCCAUGCCGCGUGUGUGAAGAAGGUCUUCGGAUUGUAAAGCACUUUAAGUUGGGAGGAAGGGCAGUAAGUUAAUACCUUGCUGUUUUGACGUUACCAACAGAAUAAGCACCGGCUAACUUCGUG